rnacentral:snoRNA from 1 species
CGCCUGGAAGAUGAAGAACUCGUCUCGUUUAUCCUGACCGGUCUGGGACCGGACUAUGAAUCCAUCGUCUCUGCUAUUGCUGCACGAGUUGAGCCCAUCUCGGUGGGAGAUCUUUAUACACAACUAGUGGCUUUUGAGC